GACGAACGCUGGCGGCGUGCUUAACACAUGCAAGUCGAACGGAAAGGCCCUGCUUUUGUGGGGUGCUCGAGUGGCGAACGGGUGAGUAACACGUGAGUAACCUACCCUUGACUUUGGGAUAACUUCAGGAAACUGGGGCUAAUACCGGAUAGGAGCUCCUGCUGCAUGGUGGGGGUUGGAAAGUUUCGGCGGUUGGGGAUGGACUCGCGGCUUAUCAGCUUGUUGGUGGGGUAGUGGCUUACCAAGGCUUUGACGGGUAGCCGGCCUGAGAGGGUGACCGGCGACAUUGGGACUGAGAUACGGCCCAGACUCCUACGGGAGGCAGCAGUGGGGAAUAUUGCACAAUGGGCGGAAGCCUGAUGCAGCAACGCCGCGUGCGGGAUGACGGCCUUCGGGUUGUAAACCGAUUUCGCCUGUGACGAAGCGUGAGUGACGGUAAUGGGUAAAGAAGCACCGGCUAACUACGUG
rnacentral:rRNA from 1 species